GCUGUUCAUCAGUCCACGGUAAGACAAAUUGUCUAUAAAUGGUGAAGGUUCAGCACUGCUGCUACUCUCCCUAGGAGUGGCCGUCCUGUAAAGAUGACUGCAAGAGCACAGCGAAGACUGCUCAAUGAGGUGAAGAACAAUCCUAGAGUGUCAGCUAAAGUCUUACAAAAGUCACUGGCAAAUGUUAACAUCCCUGUUAGCGAAUCUACAAUACGUAAAACACUAAACAAGAAUGGAUUUCAUGGGAGGAUACUACAGAGGAAGCCACUGCUGUCCAAACAAAACAUUGCUGCACGUUUACAGUUUGCACAAGAGCACCUGGAUGUUCCACAGCAGUACUGGCAAAAUAUCCUGUGGACAGAUGAAACCAAAGUUGAGUUUUUUGGAAGAAAC